GUCUGGGAAGAGGCAGGCCUCAGAGCAGCCCCCUACCCCAGCUGAGAGCCCACCUGCGGUUCAGACGAGGGGCGUAUAGAGCCGAGGGUUCAGGUGCCCACCAUUUCCUCGUAGCCGUUGGUGUACAUCACCCAUGUCUGGCUGUCAUUGCUGAAGCCCACGAAGAAGGAGGUCACGAAGUCGUCACUGGGGAGCGGAUGGUGGUCAGGGACUUUAAGAGCAGGAAGGGGCUCUGGAGGCCUGGAGUGCCAACAGGAAAUCCGGGUUUGGGACCAAUGUGUGGCCUUAGGCCAGGGUCAGGCUUCUGGGGCCUGGGAGGCCGGAAGUAAUAGUCCACUGUGGGGAGGGAGAGCCCUGAUGAGAUGGCCCACCACGAGCCGGGGCUCCUAGGUUCACAGGAGCCCAGUGGGCCGGACUGGGCACGCGGUGCACAAGGUGAGGAGGUGAGAUCAGGGUGGGCCUUAAAGAGUCCAGAUGGGCUGAGACGAGGAGGGAGGGUCCUCCUGGAGGGGGAGGCUGCUUGGGCACAGGUGGGGUGAGCGAGACCCCGAGGAAGUCACCAGCCUGGCGCCCCCGCAGGGCGUGGCCCGGAGAAAGGUGGGGAAAGGCUGGGCAGGGAGUGGGGCACGGACAUCGGACAUGCCCCGAAGGACGACUGGCACCUGUGGCAGGAAGGGGGGUCUGGAGGGCUGAG